rnacentral:rRNA from 1 species
AUUGAACGCUGGCGGCAGGCCUAACACAUGCAAGUCGAACGAGUGGCGGACGGGUGAGUAAUGUCUGGGAAACUGCCCGCUGGAGGGGGAUACCUACUGGAAACGGUAGCUAAUACCGCAUACCAUCGGAUGUGCCCAGAUGGGAUUAGCUAGUAGGUGGGGUAACGGCUCACCUAGGCGACGCACCCUAGCUGGUCUGAGAGGAUGAGCGGCCACACGGGAACUGAGACACGGUCCAGACUCCUACGGGGGGCAGCAGUGGGGAAUAUUGCACAAUGGGCGCAAGCCUGAUGCAGCCAUGCCUCGUGUAUGAAGAAGGCCUUCGGGGUGUAAAGUACUUUCAGCGAGGAGGCGUUACUCGCAGAAGAAGCACCGGCUAACUCCGUGCCAGCAGCCGCGGUAAUAC